rnacentral:rRNA from 1 species
GAUGAACGCUGGCGGCGUGCUUAACACAUGCAAGUCGAACGAUUAAAGCCCCUUCGGGGGUGUAUAGAGUGGCGAACGGGUGAGUAACACGUGGGCAACCUGCUCUGCGCUUCGGGAUAACUCAGGGAAACCUGAGCUAAUACCGGAUACUCCUUGCGGAUCGCAUGGUCUGCUCGGGAAAGUUCCGGCGGCGCAGGAUGGGCCCGCGGCCCAUUAGCUUGUUGGUGAGGUAAUGGCUCACCAAGGCAACGAUGGGUAGCCGAGCUGAGAGGCUGAUCGGCCACACUGGGACUGAGACACGGGCCAGACUCCUACGGGAGGCAGCAGUGGGGAAUUUUGCGCAAUGGUCUAAAGCUUGACGCAGCAACGCCGCAUGUGGGAUGAAGGCCUUCGGGUUGUAAACCGCUUUCAGCAGGGAUGAAACUGACAGUACCUGCAGAAGAAGCCCCGGCUAACUACGUGCCAGCCGCCGCGGUAAAAC